AAAAUUACUUAAAAAAUUGUGCUGAAUCGUCCAUCUUCUCUUUUAUACCUUCAACAAUCGUCCAUCUUUCUCCUUUAUACUAACUGUUGUGUCACGGAAUCGCCUCUCCAGUCUCUACUGUUUGCAAAUGCAAGUAAAUCUCCAUAAAUUUCUCUAGUUUUAUGCAAUUCCCAGGCUGGAAGAAACGGCUGACCUGGUUACUAUUAAACCUGGGUUUUCCAGUUCUGAUUGAAAUUGAAUUAGAAACUACUGCGUCAGAAACACUACUGUAAAAGUGAAUUCUAAUCUGAUCCCAACUAUCCACCACCAAAAUUCAUAGUUGGUUUCUUUGAAAAAUAAUUUUUCUUAAACAAUUACAGUGCUAAAUGAUGCUCCUUUUACAGAGAUGAAUUGAAGCGAAAAGAUGCCAAUUUUUUCUCAUUCUGUUUCGAAUGAGAGAGUGAUGGGAUGGGUUUUUGUGGUAAUUGGUUUAAUUUCAUAUAUGGGUUUUCUCUAUGCUGCUGUAAUUUCAAAGCUUCUUCCGCCAUCAGAUAAUGCUAUCAUCUCUGCCAUACAAAAUGACUGGUAUUAUUGCUUCUUGGUGCCCUUGACAAUUCCGAUUCUCAUUGUUUCGGUAUAUUUUCAUUGGCUGAGUAUGAAAUUAUUCAAGCAUGCCUGAGCUUAUUAUGGCAGCAACACAAUGCAUUUCUCUUCAACAUAAUAGUUUAUAACACAUUCUCUUGCCCAGUGAUGCACACAGAAGACAAUUUUCCAGGCAGAAUAGUUUUUUUCUGAAUCCCAACUGGAUUUUCUGGUGGCUGGACCAGAAUGAGACCGUGUCGAGUUUCACACGUUCUCCGAUUACGAUCUGCACGUGCAUGCCAUGUGCUAGCUAGGCCUUGUGCCAAACUAUGUCUUGCAACUUUCUCGUGUAUGCAUGUUUUCUAUGGUAUGUCGACCUAGACAGAUUAAGAAGAGUUGAAGGAGUGGAAUUUUUAUU